rnacentral:tRNA from 1 species
GGAGGAAUGGCAGAGCGGUCAAAUGCACCUGACUGUAAAUCAGGCGACUUAGUCUACGUUGGUUCGAAUCCAGCUUCCUCCACCA